UCUUCUUUCCUCUUCUUAUUUCUUCUUUCUGUUUCUCUUUCUCUAUUCGACCUCUGUUGAUUCUUGGUGAGUUGUGUGAUCAAUUAUAGAAGUAAACUAGAUAUUGAAGCUGUUUUAGAGAUGAUGAAGAUGUUGUGAUUCUGAUUUGUAAAGAAGAACAAAUGAAGAUUGUUACAGAUUCGGGAUAAGUUUGAGAAGAUCGAAAUUAGGGUUUGGAAAGAAAUUGAGAGGUGAACUGGGUCGUUAAUGGAUGAAGAGAAGAGGGGUUGUUGUUGAUUUGAUGAGAUGAGGCUAUUCUGAUGAUGAAUCGAAAUCAGUUACUCUGCAUUAACAACGAUCAAUCUAAAAGACGAACCAGUGGAUUAUGGAUCUCAAGGUACGCGAGGCUUGUCAUCAAAAGAGUUUCAGAGUCAGAUCAAGUUGUGCACGUGGCGAUGAAAGCUUUGAGGAGUUAGUUUCGUUAGUUGGUUAGCUUCCGCUAUGUUUAUUUUGUGUUGAUAUUCUAUUUGUAAAUCAACUCACUAUUAAAUAUGUAACACUUGAGAGGAUUUCUUGUAUUUAUUUCAGAGAGGUUUUAGAUUCGGGUUAAUCUUUGUUUAGAACUUCUUUCUUAAUGUUUAAAUAUAUGUUAUAGAUCGU